GUCUCAGCAGCGCGAGCCCGCCGCCACAGCUGCAGCCUAUAUAACCAUCAUCAGUGACGAGGCGCCGCAGGCCACGCCCCCUCUCUUGGACACAAAUGUGGACUUUUGUUUCCCACAUUUUGAAACUGUGUCAGAGACAGAGACAGAGAGACUUCUGUGUCUGUGAGGAAACAUGGAGGAUUAACACGAAUCCAACCUCUGCCCUUCAAAAUAAGAAGAACGAUUCUACAGAAACAACUAAAUCAGAAGGACUUGCUAUUCAAAUCAUGAGGAAGGAGCGAGUGCAUCCACACACAGAGCUCUAUUCAUGUCACAGGACAGAGAGGGCUCCGUGCACAAAGAGGGAGAGAUUCAGUGACAGAACAGGCAGCAAACGGCAGAGGUGAAGUCAAGUCGAGUCGUAAGAAGAUUGAAGGUGAAGAUGAUUUCCCACAUAUUCCACACUUCACAAUUCAGAUAAAAUAGGCUAAAAUACGACACAUUUCUUGUGGAAGAAUUAGUGCUUUUCUCCGUGUGUGUAGUGGUGUUGGUCUCGCUCGGUUGCCAGGUUUGUACGCAAAGAGCAGACAUCCAGUGUUUUCCAUCUAAAUAUUCUGUAAAUUCUGUCCUUCUUCACUUUAUUUAUGAUUUAUUGGGGGGAUUUGUCCCAUGUGUUAUAGCAGAGACGAUAAAGUGGAUGACGUCACAUUAUAAGGCGACCAAAAUGAAACGUUCAUUUACCUUGACUACAAAUACACAUAUACAGUAUGUGGAUUUAAGUGGUCAGCACUCUACUUGGUUUACAAACAAACUAAAUGUAUGAUAUUUUCAUAACAUAAGUAAUGUUUCUUUUGAUAAUCUAAGUAUUGCUUAUGUAACAUUACUUCAUGUGCACAUAUUUACAAAUAUAGAGGAGACGAACAAUCUUCUACUACAUACAAAAACACCUUUAUUUGUUGCUAAAUAUUGUUACAAAACAUUGUAAUGUUAAACCAACUCUAAAAACACACAAUAUCAAUUACAUAGUGAAUUACCAGUUUGGUAAAGUAUUCAGUAAAUCCACGUUGCUGUCUUUUGCAAACUGUUUAGCAGGUUUAAACACAUCGAAACAAUCUGCACACCAUAAGAACUCUGGAUCUGGUCAAGCUCCUUUAAACCACAGUCACUUUCAUUUUACAGUUUCCACUUCACUCGUAUGUCACACACGUGUUUCCCUCCUGAAUAUUUUACAGUGUCAAUGCCCUGGAGACAAAUAGCUUUUUAGAUUUUCUUUCAUAAAUAAUUGACAUUCAUCACUUCCCUCUGUCACAACCAGUGAUCAUCACGAUGCUGCAGCAUCUCAUUCCAGUCAUUUGAAACCAAAAUAUAAUCCAGUCAGUGGUAAUCUCCCCCCUGUGUGUCUCUCUCUCCUGCUCUCGGGUUAAAUUGUCGGGACGAUUAUCUUCAAACUCAUCACAAGAGUUACAAAACUGAACUAUAAAGGGAUUACGUUUUAACGAUUGGUGAGGCUGUUCUCUGCAGCGCGGCCUCAUCAAGAAGAAAAACACGUUUUCACUCACUUUGUUCUCUUUUUUUAAGAGAAACGUUUUGCACGGUGAACAAAGAAAAUGGUGCAAAUGUUAAAGAAAUGUCUUCACUUUGUAAUUAAGUGCAUGGAAUAAUUUUAUUAUUAUUGUAUGAAAUUGUUAUUAGAGUCACCUGAGAGUGCUGGUAUUCACCUCUGUGUGUUCUUUUAUUUGUGUCUUUGUCAGGACUAAAAAUCAUACACAUCACACAGAGUGAGGACAUUUUGGCCGGUCCUCACAUCUUUAAGGGGCUUCUUGGGGUUUAAGGCCUGGUUUUAGGGUUAGGGUUAGGUACUUA